ACUACAUGAGGUGAACCCCAUUCAGGCCGCCUCAGAUAAUUGACAGGGACACUGGCAGGAGGUGCAUAUGGAGGGGAAGAAGGUGCAAGGGCUACGUGAUUCUGGGGCUACCCUAACGCUAGUCCGGAAUCAUCUGGUGCCUAAAAUUAAUCUGACUGGGGGCUGUGUUGCUGUACGGGUGGCAGGGGGAGCCAUUUACAAAGUGCCCACUGCCAAGGUACAUUUGAAUUGGGGAGCGGGUCACGGGAAUGUGGAGGUGGGGAGAAUGCAGGAUUUGCCCGCUGACGUCAUUUUGGGCAAC